AACUAACGCUGGCGGCGCGUCUUAAACAUGCAAGUCAAACGGGUAGCAAUACCAGUGGCGAACGGGUGAGUAAUACAUGGAUAACCUACCUUUAAGUUGGGAAUAACACAGAGAAAUUUGUGCUAAUACCGAAUGUGACGGUUCAGCAAAGGCUGGAUUGGUUAAAGCAGCAAUGCGCUUAGAGAUGGUCCAUGGCUGAUUAGCUAGUUGGUGGGGUAAAGGCCCACCAAGGCGACGAUCAGUAGCCGGCCUGAGAGGGUGAACGGCCACAAUGGAACUGAGACACGGUCCAUACUCCUACGGGAGGCAGCAGUUAAGAAUCUUGCUCAAUGGGCGAAAGCCUGAAGCAGCGACGCCGCGUGAACGAUGAAGGUCUUCGGAUUGUAAAGUUCAGUAAGUAGGGACGAAAAAAAUGACGGUACCUACCUAAAGCACCGGCUAACUACGUGCCAGCAGCCGCGGUAAAAC
rnacentral:rRNA from 1 species